GCGGCGGCGUGGCGCGCGCGCGCAGCCAGCGCCUGGCGACACGCGCACAGACCACGCCCACCACAACACACUAGAUGUUUAGAUGCAGGUAUCAUAAACGACAGAGCUCUAUCAUUAGGACUAACAACAGAUUCGGAGACGUCGGAUGACGCAAUGCGGCUCGUUGACCGUAUGCGCCAACUUGCCAGGUAUCCUGCGGGUCCUGUAAUACCGAGUCAGAAUCUCAGGCAACUGAUGCCGGCCACCAACAUGCCGGUUGCCAAAGUCACCAAGGAAAGGAACAAGCUUGUUAUCAUACAACAGAACAAGAAAAACUGAUAUAUAGCUUUAUUUUUAAUUUCAACGCUCAAUCUCAUUUUAAUACUCAAUGUUUAUUUAUUAUCAAUAUUUAUCUUGGAGUUUUUUAAU